GACGAACGCUGGCGGCGUGCUUAACACAUGCAAGUCGAACGGAAAGGCCCUGCUUUUGUGGGGUGCUCGAGUGGCGAACGGGUGAGUAACACGUGAGUAACCUGCCCUUGACUUUGGGAUAACUUCAGGAAACUGGGGCUAAUACCGGAUAGGAGCUCCUGCUGCAUGGUGGGGGUUGGAAAGUUUCGGCGGUUGGGGAUGGACUCGCGGCUUAUCAGCUUGUUGGUGGGGUAGUGGCUUACCAAGGCUUUGACGGGUAGCCGGCCUGAGAGGGUGACCGGCCACAUUGGGACUGAGAUACGGCCCAGACUCCUACGGGAGGCAGCAGUGGGGAAUAUUGCACAAUGGGCGGAAGCCUGAUGCAGCAACGCCGCGUGAGUGAUGAAGGUCUUCGGAUCGUAAAACUCUGUUAUUAGGGAAGAACAAAUGUGUAAGUAACUAUGCACGUCUUGACGGUACCUAAUCAGAAAGCCACGGCUAACUACGUG
rnacentral:rRNA from 1 species